rnacentral:misc_RNA from 1 species
CCUUUAUUAGCCGAAACAAUAGUUGGAAGUUUGCACUCAGUCUUCUCCUUCCAACAGACAUAGCCUUCAUUAAUAACAAUAUUACAAUGAUAACAAGCCAUGAAACACCAUAAACCAGAAAACUUUUGGUAUUUUUAAUGAUGCUGAGGUGAUACACAAGGCCAUACUGAAAGAUGAAAAAGCGCAAUGCCAACAAUAUCUCCACAAUGAUACCGCGCUUCCCAGAAUAUCGAAGAUGUUCCUGUUCCUUUUCCCACCAGGAUUCCCAACUUUUUUCUGGAGGCACAC